AAAAUCCUUCCAAAUCUGGAAUGGAACUUAAAUUAGCACAGCCACAUAGCUUUAAUUCUAUAGGACAACUGGAGGUCAACAACCCGUCUCCUAUCUUGCUUAAGUUUUGACACGAGGAAAUGUGAAGCUUUUCAAGAGAUGAACAUCUUCCCCUUAUUGGAACAAUUUCCAGUUUGCUGCACUUUGAUAUAUCUAGAUUUCGAAGAAAGGAAAAUCCUUCCAAAUCUGGAAUGGAACUUAAAUUAGCACAGCCACGUAGCUUUAAUUCUUUAAGACAACUGGAGGUCGACAACCCGUCUCCUAUCUUGCUUAAGUUUUGACACGAGGAAAUGUGAAGCUUUUCAAGAGAUGAACAUCUUCCUCUAAUUGGAACAAUUUCCAGUUUGCUGCACUCUGAAAUAUCUAGAUUUCGAAGAAAGGAAAAUCCUUCCAAAUCUGGAAUGGAACUUAAAUUAGGACAAUCACUUAACUUCAAUUCUUCAAGAUUAGUGGAGGUCGACAACCCGUCUCCUAUCUUGCUUAAGUUUUGACACGAGGAAAUGUGAAGCUUUUCAAGAGAUGAACAUCUUCCUCUAAUUGGAACAAUUUCCAGUUUGCUGCACUCUGAAAUAUCUAGAUUUCGAAGAAAGGAAAAUCCUUCCAAAUCUGGAAUGGAACUUAAAUUAGGACAAUCACUUAACUUCAAUUCUUCAAGAUUAGUGGAGGUCGACAACCCAUCUCCAAUCUUGCUUAGUUUUCGACACGAGGAAAUGUGAAGCUUUUGAAGAGAUGAAC
rnacentral:lncRNA from 1 species